UACGGGGGGGUAAGCGUUGUUCGGAAUUACUGGGCGUAAAGGGCUCGUAGGCGGCCAACUAAGUCAUACGUGAAAUCCCUCAGCUUAACUGGGGAACUGCGUGUGAUACUGGAUGGCUUGGAUUUGGGAGAGGGAUGCGGAAUUCCAGGUGUAGCGGUGAAAUGCGUAGAUAUCUGGAGGAACACCGGUGGCGAAGGCGGCAUCCUGGACCAAUAUUGACGCUGAGGAGCGAAAGCCAGGGGAGCAAACGGGGAUUAAGAA
rnacentral:rRNA from 1 species